CACAUAUAAAAAUAUAUAUAUAUGUUUGUGUGUGUGUGUGUGUAGCAUACGUGCGUGUGUAUAUAUCUGUAUACAUAGUACUACGAUAUAGAACGGGUCAUCGAAUUUUGUCGAUCCUAUCUCGACUAUUCUCGGCGUGUUGAGGAAUGCGUGAGACGAUUCGAUUCGAUGAAUAAAUAACGGAAAACGAAUGAUAUUCCGUUCGCUAUACGUUCUUCUCUGUCUCUCUUUCUCUCUUUCACGUUCAUUGUUUGUUCGAUCGACGAAAAGAGAUAGAAAGAUAUAUAGAUAGAUAGAUAGAUAGACAGAUAGAUAGAGAAAGAGAGAGAGAGAGAGAGAGGGAUAUAUCGAUGUUCAAAUGUACGCUCGUGAAAGAUGAUCGUCGAACAAGCGUGUUGCGACACAGCUUUAAUUGGUUUUUCUCCUCCUCGUUUUGGCGUCACUCAAUGAAACAACAACCGAAUUCACACCGAGUGAUACAACUUUUAUCGUCGUGUUAAUGAGCACUGAUGUCUCGAAUAACUGUUAGACUGAUGUAUAACAACGUUGAUUUUAUUUUUAUUCGAUUACUCUUUUUCUCCUUCUUCCUCUAUCUGUAUCUUUCUUUCUUUCUCUUUCUCUCUAUCUCUCUUUUUAUUUCUAUCUGUUUUUCAAUGAGUCAUCGCAGUGUUGUCUAUUAGUACAGACACAAUACAUUUUUAUUUGUACGUUUAUAUUUUUAUUUCGUUAAUAUCUCCCUCUCUCUUUCUCUCUCUCUCUCUACCUUGUCUAUUUUUAAAUGAAUCAUAUCACAGUGUUGUCAGCGAUUAAUAGAUACUACGUAUAUAUUUUUUUUAUGCGUACGUACGAGAGACGAAAGAAAGCUUAUCAUUGUUUAUUUCUUUUCUCUCUCUUUUUCUCUCUCUCUCUCUCUCUCUCUCUCUUUCUCUCUCUCUGUUUUACGUUGACUCUACAGUUCUUUGUCCUCUGUUGGGGACGAGAUAGAUAAUGAUAAACAAGGUCGUUCCGUAUUGCGCGUUAACAAUGAACGUAUAAACACAGUGAGAAAUUUUAUUGAUUUAUUGAAGAAAAAGGGAAGGGGGAUACGUGUGCGUAUACGUGACGAUUUACUUACGAAGGACGUUCGGGGAUAGGUAGAGAGAAAGAAAGAGAUCAGUAUUUGUUGAGACAUCGAGAGCGCUGGUUACGUCUUUAGACGAAUACUACGUAUCUGAUAUUUUUACUCUGAUAUUCGAAGCGAAACGAUACAGUGUUAACCAUCAAUGAUAAACAACAAUCGUCGUGAAUCUUGUCAUCCAUAAUCGUGAUGCCAAGCCUGCCUGCCUGCCUGCCUGCCUGCCUGCCUGCCUGCUUGCCUAUAAGUCAAUCGAGAACGAUCGGACUGCCGAGAGGCGAACAGCAGAGAGAAUAUGCAGUCAUCGCUUGGAACUUGAAUUUAUGUGUACAUCGAAUGUGGAAAUGCAUCGACGUGCGAUAGAUGGAUAGAUAGAUAGAUAGAUAGAUAGAUAGAUAUAUAGAUAUAUAGAUAUAUAGAUAUAUAGAUAGGCAAAAGAGAGAGAAAGAGAGAGAUAGAUAGAGAGAGAGAGAGAGAGAAAGAGAAUUCGAACAAAAGGAAUAAACGUGAUAAUAAUUAAUAUGCUGGCAAUAUUAACUAGCGUUCGUUUAUUAUCCUCUAGUCAUUCCGAGAGAUAGUUGAAUCCAUGUUUAUUAUUCUCUUUUUCUCUCUCUCUCUCUCUCUCUCUCUCUCUCUCUCUCUCUCUCUCUCUCGUCGAUACGUUGUGUUCUAUCGUUUCAUCGAAGGACGAAGUGAAUCUCUUACGAAUAUUGAUGGCUCGGAUGUUCAUUCUGCUUGUUUCUCGUUUGCCGUCGUGAACGAGAUAGUUUGCCGUCUAUAUGCACUGACCGAUCAUACCAAAUUGUUUCCGAUCGGAUCUCACGAUCCAAUCAUCGGUUCAGGCUCAAAGUCGAUUAGGAAAUGGAAAUCAUCGUGACUGCCUCCUAUACGUUUCUAUCUGUUCUGACUACAUGUAUGUAUGUAUGUAUAUAUGUAUGGAUGUAUGUAUAUCCAUAUAUAUCCCUUUCUUCUCUUCCACGUUACCGAACAUCGCCAAUUGCAGUUAGAUCCCUUUAUGUCGACGUCAAAGGAUUUUCGAUCUAUCGAUGAAUUCUCUAUGCUAUAUGUUUUACGUUCGAUUUACUUUGAAUGUUAAACGUAUAUAUGGAAUGUUAAACGUAUUAUUUAGAUAAGUUUUUUUUUUUUUUUUUUUUUUUUUUACAACAUCAAUCAUGUUCUCUUUUUUCUUUUUUACUUAUCUUCCAUUUAGUUUCCUUUUUCCUCCUUUCAUUUCACAUUCCUUCAUUUGGACAAUCGUGACAUAUUUUCUUUUUUUCCUUUCUGUUGGUUUGUAAUAUUUAUAAAAAGAUCGAGCUUUCUCCUCGUUAUUUUCUCUCUCUCUCUCUCUCUCCUUUUUUUUUUUAUAUAUAUCGAUUUACAUUUACC